GCAAGAAUGGACAAGGAAAGGGAAAGGAGAGGAGGAGGAGAAGGAGAAAGAGAGGAGCUUGGUCUUCAUUAUGAAGACUAAGCCGCCUGCCCCAGGAAGCAGAAGGGGAAGGGCAAGGGCUGUGUCGCUGCCAAGGAAGCGGGCCAAGGAAUUACGGCAUUGUCCCGCUCGCCAAGUUGUUAUUACGGGUAAAAAAAACUCCACCGCCUUGACAUCUCGCUGACCCCGCCGACGCCAGCGUGUGUGCCACGAUCGCCGCUGCCAACGGCUUCGCAAACGACUCCGAGAGGGAGACUACAUCUUCACCGGCAAUGGAGCAUGAUAAGCAAGGAGAGAAGGAUUAUGAAGAGGAAGAGAAUGAGGAGGAAGAGGAUGAGUAAGAUACUCUGUUUGAGGAGGAAGAUUCUCAUUUUGAUGUCAAAGCACUAAGUGUUAUGCUAUGCAGAAUUGCAUUGUUUGGCUGUCAAUGUUCAAUAUUUUUGCCGUAUAAAGUUCAAAGGAGGAGCUGUCCAAAAUUCAAAAGCAAUGAUGCCCAAUUCUUUCUUAGUCA